GAUGAACGCUGGCGGCGUGCCUAAUACAUGCAAGUCGAGCGAACAGACGAGGAGCUUGCUCCUCUGACGUUAGCGGCGGACGGGUGAGUAACACGUGGAUAACCUACCUAUAAGACUGGGAUAACUUCGGGAAACCGGAGCUAAUACCGGAUAAUAUACUGAACCGCAUGGUUCAAUAGUGAAGGACGGUUUUGCUGUCACUUAUAGAUGGAUCCGCGCCGCAUUAGCUAGUUGGUAAGGUAACGGCUUACCAAGGCAACGAUGCGUAGCCGACCUGAGAGGGUGAUCGGCCACACUGGAACUGAGACACGGUCCAGACUCCUACGGGAGGCAGCAGUAGGGAAUCUUCCGCAAUGGGCGAAAGCCUGACGGAGCAACGCCGCGUGAGUGAUGAAGGUCUUCGGAUCGUAAAACUCUGUUAUUAGGGAAGAACAAAUGUGUAAGUAACUAUGCACGUCUUGACGGUACCUAAUCAGAAAGCCACGGCUAACUACGUG
rnacentral:rRNA from 1 species